CAAUAGCGUAUAUUAAAGUUGUUGCAGUUAAAAAGCUCGUAGUUGGAUUUCUGUCGAAGACGACCAGCCCGCCUUACGGUGUGUGCUCGGUUCGGCUUUGGCAUCCUCCUGCGCCGUCACUCCGCGCUUCACUGCGUUGGAGAGCGACGUAGGACAGUUACUUUGAGAAAAUUAGAGUGUUUCAAGCAGGCAUUCGCCUUGAAUACAUUAGCAUGGAAUAAUGAGAUAGGACUUCGGUUCUAUGUGUUGGUUUCGAGAACUGAGGUAAUGAUUAAUAGGGAUAGUUGGGGGCAUUCGUAUUUAACUGUCAGAGGUGAAAUUCUUGGAUUUGUUAAAGACGAACUACUGCGAAAGCAUUUGCCAAGGAUGUUUUCAUUAA
rnacentral:rRNA from 1 species